rnacentral:lncRNA from 1 species
UGAGUGUUACAUAGGAGCAUUUGGAGAGAUGAAAUGAAAGAUGAAAAUGGAUUAAUGAUAAUCUCAAAUGAAGCAAUCUUUAAAGAGGAGAAAUGGGCCUUUUUUUCUUUUUCUUUUCUUUCCUUUUCUUUUUCUCAAUGAAAUAUAAAGAUCAAGACAUGAACUUAAAAAAAAAAAAAAACCUAAACAAACAAAACCACUUUAAACAGGACCUGAAAGUAUCUACUUUAAAACUGUCAUAUAUACCUUUUUCUCAUUAGAGUUACUUUUAAAAUGCAGCUCUGAAAAGGAUAAAACCCAGGUUGAGUUAUUAACUUCUUUUGUUAAUACCUCAGAAGGACUAAAGGGGGUAGCUCAUAAAACAUUUCAAACAGCAAAGUUUCUGUAAGGACGUUUAAAGCCCUGCCCACCCACGGUCUUGCUGUGAAGUAAUGGAGUCUGCAGGACCCGCACAACAUCAUGAAAGAAACCAGAAGAGAGAGGCUGCUUUGAGGAUCCCGCUGUUGUCUAAUGGUGUUGCUUAUCAAAAGACAGGAGAAAUCUCAAAGAUUCUUGAAUUUCUACAUGUGAGCCAAAGGCAGGUGAAAUGACAUGAUAUGACAAAGCUGCUGGAUCCCCCAAGGUUCAGAAUUAAGCCAAUGCCUUACAACUCCUUAUCACACUUUUUUUUUUAAAGUGAACACGAUGAUUAUAUUGUCUUAAGAUAUAUAGAAUACUUGAAACACUACAAUUUCUUACAGGGAAAUGAUAGGGUCGUGUCCGUAAUGGAGACUAGUUCGUGGACUUGGCAAAUAAAGUAGGAAUCAAAUAUGUUAUCAAAUGUGGCUAAGACGAGCUAAAUUUUGGCAGAACCAUAUUUGCAUGGUGAUGGACAGUUAUGCAGUGUGAUUUCUGAUCAUCACUGCACUUCACUGGAGAAGCUGCAUUGCAGUGUAAGUCUGUCUGAACUCCCUCCCUAUACAUUUGGCAUGCGGAGGGUAGAAACUGCUGCAAGCAGCUACAUAUUUGGAAUUGUCGGAGGCUCUGGGUGAAGUAUUCCUUUUCUAGUGCAGUAUGCAUUUGAAGUGUCUAAAGUAACUCACCCAGUACCGGCUGAUCUGCCUUCCUUGUAAACCAGUCUUGUUAUGGCAAUCCUGAAGACCUGGACCUGGGUGAUAAUUUCCAGAGUGAAGUGUCCACAAGAUGAAGUGGAAAAAUAUCAGCAGCUCAUCUUUUUCUCUGUCAGCCUUGUUUAUGUAAACCUAUAAAUGAAUGAGCCUUCCUUGUUUGUGUUCCCGAACUUCAGAAGGACAUGUAUGGGGAUCGUAGCUGAGGGCGAGCAUCUCUGUGCAAGCUCUGUACAGGUGGAUUUCUUCUGGGUCUCCAUAGGCAGUCAUUUCUUUCGGGUCUCAAGUUAUUUUCUUGCAGAAAAAUAUAUUUUUAUAAUAUAUUAUAUACUAGUUCCCGCAGGACCUUGUGUUGAGUAAAGGUGGAAUCUCUAUAGAAUUUUAUUUGUCCUUAUUCUUAUAGUGAAACCAAGGGAAUGUUAGUCAGGCAUCUAUCCCUAAUGGCCCAUGGAGGAUAAUAGUUUUUAUAUUAUUUUGUGUUUAAUUCCGUAAUAUUUUCUUUAUUUCAGUAGGGAGACAAGAGCCUUGGCUUACAUCUCCUUACUUCAUCCAGACAUAAGCUGUUUGUGAAUCUCCAGCCACAGGGAAAGCUGAUUCUGGUUUCUGAGCUCCAUGGGAUUCAAUUCUGGCCUCAUCCUUUGAAGGAUAUAUGAGAUGCUAACGCCCCCUCCCUUGAGAGUGGCCAUCUUUAUACCACAGGGCUUCUGGGAAGUUGGGUAUGACGCAGCUGAGGCUUCUCUGGUGGGAUUCCAUUGUGUCAUCCAUGUAAACUGCUUUCUCAAGGCACGGACUCUGAAGAAUGGUCUCAGAUGAGCAAGGUUGCCAUGGAUACUCAUCUGCAGCUCAGUCCUCAUGGUUACGUACACGCAACACAUUGAGCAGCUAUGAAGACUCUGCAUUAAUCAGCACCCAUGGUGAAAAGAACUUCCUGUGAUAAAGUUGGGAGCAGCACAGGUCUAUAUAUGUGUGUAGCUGGGAUUAAACGGCUUCUGUGGAAUUGUUGGCGUUCAAAGCUGUCUGGUAGUCUUGAUUUUUAUGUACAUAGAAAAAUGAAGAAUCCUGGGAGAGAAAAGCUAGCGAACUUGGUUGUGAGCAGAGAGAAAAAGUUAAGGUAGUGUUUGGUCCCAGAAAAAAAAAAAAAAAAAAAAAAAAAAAAAAAAAAAAAGACAAAGAAAAGAUCCCUUGGUCCAUGAUGACAUAAGGUCAUCUUUUAGAUGCUCCUGGGGCCCAGUAUCUGUUGCAAGGUUUUAAAAAUGAAUUCAUAAGAUAAUAUAUCAAUGCCUAAGGAAAAGUUACUUUUCUGACACAAUGUUUAAGAAGAUGACUGAGAUACUGGACUAGCCACGUGUGACUUGCUAAAAGACAAGAGAAUGCUUCUGCUGGCCUGCCCAUAGGCCCCACCUUGAGGAAUAGGACCAUGCUGCUGAGUAGAGAGACUUCUUUGCAUGAGAUUUGGAUACGACUUAUUGGACAUUCCCUCACCUUAUUGUACCCCCAGCUCAAGCCAAUGAGAACCAUGAUGAGAUUUUUUAAAAAAUUUCUGUGUAUUAAAUAUUAAGGCAGAGGUUCUUAACUUGUGGGUUGUGACCCCCUUCACCGGAAUCACAUACCUUGCAUAUUAGACAUUUAUAUAAUGAUGUGUUAUAUCCAUAACAUGAGCAAAAUUACAGUUAUGAAGUAGCAACCAAAAAAAGCUAUGGUUGAAGGUCACCACUACAUGAGGAGGUAUGUGAAAGGGUUGUAGCAUUAGGAAGUUUGAGAGCUACUGCCAGAUAGGGAAUGCCAGUUCCAUUUCAGUCUGAGAAAUCUGGAGUCAAAUGAUAGGAAGAAAAGUGCUCGAAUGGGGUUUCUAUUACUUACAUUGGCUCAGUUUAUCUGGCGUGAUCUUAAAGGAGUGGAUCUUUUCCAAAAGGGAGCUAUGAUACAUGAAGCCAUGGAAGAUUACCAGAUGCUUAGAAUGGAGGCAACCAGAGAAUGUUUAGGCAAGAGCAGGCCUUGGUCUUCAAGAUAGAAGCUUCCAGCCCAACAGAAUCAACACACCAAAGAGUCAGAAUGUGCCUGCAGCCCUAGAGAACAGACACAAUUACCAGAGAGGCAAGACACUGGUGAGACCUGAACUCAGGUGUCUGCAGUACAGAAAGAAGCAGAGUGAGACUAUUCAACAAACCAGCCAUGACCCUUCCUCAUUUGACCUUGGUCUUCCAUAUAGAAAGUAAGGAAACAAUGAUACUUCCUCUGGGACUGGAUAUUGUUUUCUUUAUGAAAGUGGACUCUAGCUUUGUCAUUACUGGAAUAGACUGGAUUGCUCAUGGUCACGAGAUCAUCAAAGAAUAAAUUAAAAAGUCAUAGUCCCAUGAACUUUUUUUAAUAAUUAGAAAUAAUACAUCAUUGUCUGUUUACAUGUUACCGCUGACUGAAGAAUGAUACAGUCAUUUUUAACAGCUCUGCAAGGUAGGUAUUACUGAGAUAGAGACUGCUCUCUACCUUGUAAUUGAAGAUCCUGAGCCUCAUAGAGAGUGUUUUCCAGGUUGUCAUUAGUAAGCAUCAGAAGACCAGGGCUGUGGAACAUGUCUGAAACAUGCC